rnacentral:rRNA from 1 species
UACAGGGGGUGCAAACGUUGCUCGGAAUCAUUGGGCGUAAAGCGCACGUAGGCGGUCUGUUAUGUCGGAUGUGAAAGCCAUUGGCUCAACUGAGGAAGUGCAUCCGAAACUGGCAGGCUAGAGUACUAAAGAGGAUCGCGGAAUUCCCGGUGUAGAGGUGAAAUUCGUAGAUAUCGGGAGGAACACCGGUGGCGAAGGCGGCGAUCUGGGUAGAUACUGACGCUGAGGUGCGAAAGCGUGGGGAGCAAACAGG